UACGGGGGGAGCAAGCGUUGUCCGGAAUCAUUGGGCGUAAAGAGCGCGUAGGCGGCCCUGUAAGUCCGCUGUGAAAGUCAAGGGCUCAACCCUUGAAUGCCGGUGGAUACUGCAGGGCUAGAGUCCGGAAGAGGCGAGUGGAAUUCCUGGUGUAGCGGUGAAAUGCGCAGAUAUCAGGAGGAACACCGAUGGCGAAGGCAGCUCGCUGGGACGGUACUGACGCUGAGGCGCGAAAGCGUGGGGAGCGAACAGG
rnacentral:rRNA from 1 species